GUAUUCAAUUCCCACCGCCGCACUUUUCCCUAGAUGCUGUUCCUUCAAGAUGAUUUUUAUCACUCAAAACCUAUCGUGCAUUACCUUUCUGAUAUCGACAUGCCUUUGUUUCCACAAAUCUUUCGGUGCUAUAGAGAAAGAUAAGUUAACCUUUUUGAAAACGAUAGCCAUGGACAAUGAUCAAAAUGUUUAUCAUCAAUUUUCCGUGCAUCACAAAAGGAACCAUAUUUUGACAUGUGGUGCUAAAUGUGGAAUUGAUGAAAGCUGCAUUGGAAUUGAUGUUUGUGAUGGAAGGAUUUGUCGUCUAUGGAAUGCGACCAUCUACCAAAGCAUUUCAGCGAAUAAUUCAAACGAACUCUGUAAGCGGUAUAUUAAGGAAUCAAUGCUAAGCCAAGUUCAACAGUUUUCAUUUAAUGUUACAGGCGCAUGCACAAAUGAAACUGCUUCAGUGACUAUCGUUGACACAACUUCAAGCAAUACGCAAGCUACUGGAAUGCUUAAUCAUAUCAACCAAACAACCACAAGUUUGCCUCACUCAUCAAAUAUUAAUGGUUCGACACCACAAAACCAAACGUCUGUCCUUACUGACGCAACAACAAAAAAACCAGCAAUGACAGAAUCAACAAGUAUUGGUGAGGGAACAUCUAUUUUUACUGAAACUACCCCAACAGACAAAGCGACAAUAUCAACUUCAACUGAAACCACAACCACAGAAAUCAUGACAACAUCUAGUCCCACUCAGACCACAACCACAGGCAUAACAACAACAUCAUAUCCUAAAGAAAACCUACUGACGCCGACGUCAUUAAGUCUUGCUCACACCACAAUUGAGACAUCAAGUGAAAUGUCUUCCUCUACCAGUUCUAUAGACGAUUUUACCCCUAGUACGCUAGAGCAUACAACAGGGAGCUCAGACCAGACUUGUAAAAUGACCCUCGAAUUUUCCGGAGGAAACCGGGAAGUACCUUGCAAUAACGAUACUUAUUCUUGGAUUAUUAUACAGCAACGAUUCGAUGGAAGUGUUGAUUUCUACCGAAACUGGGUUGACUAUAAAGCAGGCUUUGGUUCCAUUGAUUCUGAAUUUUGGAUAGGUAACGACAACUUACAUGAGCUGACCAGUGUGUUUGGAUACACUCUUUUAAGGAUUGAGUUACAGGCGUUUGAUGGCCAAGAAGGACAUAUUGAAUUUUCGUUCUCAAUAGAUGACGAAUCGCUUCAAUAUAUGAUACACGUUUCGAUGAUAUCGGGAAACAUUUCUGACAGGUUCCGUCUCGCUAACAACGCCCCAUUUAGUACCGUGGAUCGUGACAAUGAUGGACACAAUGGGAAGGUGUGUACAACCGAUCAUCAUGGCGGAUGGUGGUACGCAAGGGACGCUUUCUGCACAGAGGCCAAUCUGAAUGGAGUGUACUUUGAUACUUAUAUACUAGAAAAAACCGGAAUAUACUGGUUUGGUUUUGCUGGUACAUCCUACAAUACCAUCAAAGGAGUUCGAAUGAUGCUACGAAAACCAUAAAGUGAUUUUGUUACAAAUUAGUAAAAUGGAUAGAAUGUUCGUGGUUUUUUUUGUUUGUUCUGUUUUGUGAAUUCACCCAUAAAUAUGAUUUAUUUUUAUGCAUAUU
rnacentral:sRNA from 1 species